UUUAUGGAGAGUUUGAUCCUGGCUCAGGAUAAACGCUGGCGGCGUGCCUAAUACAUGCAAGUCGAGCGAACGGA
rnacentral:rRNA from 1 species